UCUCAGAGUCCCCACAAAUCCCUGCCUUGUUCACAACAGUUGGGGCUUUGUGCUUCUCUCUGAAAUAAAACUUUUAUCUUAAAAAAAGAAAAGAGAAUGUAUCCAAUAUAGUAUAUCAUAAUCACAGUAUUGGGAACUUUCCCAACCCUGGUGGGAAGGAGGAGGAAGUCGUGGGUUCACUGGGGCACAGGAAAAAAAUGCCAGAGAUGUCCACCCCUAAUUUUUUUCCUCUCCUCUUCUGGGUUUCUGUUGUAAUGGAUUGAAAAUACACAGGAGAUGUAAUGCAAAACUUGGCUUUGAUUUUUUUUUCCCACCUAACUCUUUAAAGGUUUGGAAAGAUUUGAUUACAUGGCAGGGAAAGUAAAAAUGUGGAUGAGAUAUCCUGACGCUCAGGCCACAUGACCAGGUGAUAAGGCGUUCAGAGACUGCCAGCGGCAGCUGCUGGCUCAGGUGCGGCCUGUGUGGGAGGACUCGUGUCUCGGUGGUUACAGAGAAGCUGGCUUCCACGGUGUGAACCCGACUGAAUCACAGGCCGCUUUUUUGUUCUCCCUCGGCCUUGGAGGGCCUGGGACGUUCCUGUUGCCCAACAUCCUGAAUAACAGAGUACACCAGUCAUCAUAAGAAGAAAAAUUCACAUUUAAAGUUUGGAAAGCAACAGGACAAAGGUCUGUCUUCAGUGGUGCGUAGACAUGCUCGUGAUUGAAUUGGAAAUAGUUCUCUUUCCUUCUCUCUGACUUCCUAACUGAAAAGCUGCAGCGUGGGGAGAAAGGCUGCUCAGAAGCCUGGAGCCAGAACACGCACCCCGGCUUUUGCAGGGCCGGCUCACUUGGUUAGAAUCAAAGGAAAAGCCUUGUUAUUUGGGAAGCUGGGCGUCCUCACCAAAUUAGGGGAUUUAAUUUGCAGAUAUCUAAGGAGUGCUUUGAAAUGAAAGAUGAACUAAAAUCUGCUCUGAGGCCCGUGAUUUUUCACCAGUGAAGGACUCUCUUGCUGCUGGACAUACAUGAAAAGCAUCAUCUGAUCUGAAACGCAAGUCCCUGCAAGACAGAGGAGAGACUUUAUAAACAUUUUAUACCAUUCUAUGAAAUCAAUUCGAUUCAGGGCUAGAAUUCAAGAAGUAAUCCAUGGGCAAGUAUAUCUGAUGGUAAACCCAAACGAUUAUAUUGUUAACCUCUUGUACUUUUUUUAAUUUUUUAUUAUUUGAUAUUAUUAUCACAAAAGUCGCUGGAACAGGAUCCAUGAGCUGCUUCUUCACUGCUUAGUGUUUUCAGAAGCUGAUGGAUUAUUAAGCUCCAAUUGAAUACUUGAUUUCCAAUGAUUCCAUUAAUUUUUCUGGUUUGUGGUAGGAUUUGAUUUACUUAUUUUGUACUUUAACACACCAAUAAAAAAUAGAUACUAAGAAAUAGUGAAAUUUGUUGCUUCAAAAUAACCCUUAAAAUUUAGAGUUUAGUGAAAUUAAGCAAUUCAAAUAGAGAAACGAUUAUCCUUCAUUUCCUUAAGGCACAGAAAUUGAGACUAGGUUCAAGAACCUUCAUAUUUUAAAAACUGGAAAAUACUGGCUAAGUGAGGACUGGGCGGUCAUCCUCCACACAUGCUCUGUGUGCUUGGAGCGAAGAGGGGAACGCACUGAAUGAGAUGAACUGGAAGGAGGUGCAGCAGCGAAGGAAAUCCUUCUGUUGGGAGAGUUCACGUGUUUAGGAUAAUCCUUCGAAUAGGACGCAACAGUGAUGUGAGGAGAAGCUUUGGAGCUGAUUUAGAUUGAGACAGUCUAUCACAGGCUGUUUGGUUGCAUCCCUUUGGGGCCAGUCUCAUUUUAGGUCUAAAUAUGCAGGAAUGGGGCUCUGGCUUCCAGAAGUUUCAGGCUGCAAAAGGCUGGGGCCACCAUCUUUACAGAUAAUCCAUUAGUUUGAUUCUCUUGGGGGCCAGGAAGAAAACCAAGAACACUCAAUGGACUAUGGGACUCAAAUAAUCCACAGGAGGCGUUUGUAAAGGGGCAAAACUGUGUGUGCCCAGUAAUUCUUGGAGCUCGCAAUAGAGGUGGAGAAGCAGUGAUGGGCCCCACAGCAGCAGGGGCUUGGGAAUGACGGAAAAGAACAAAAUGAUGGAAGGACAGCUGGAAGAAACAGGGAAGCUUCCUUUUAACUGGAUGCUGGGUCUCAGCCUUGAAUAGUUCCUGGCCUUCGGAGGCCUUUUCUCAGGGAGCAUGGCCUGGGGACUCCCUGCUUGCUCUGCUGAGCUUUCAGGGAAGGAGAAAUGGGCAAGGCCAGAGGCGACCAUCAGGUGCUCCGUAGGCACAGAGGCAGAACUCAAGGUUUAGCUUUACCUUAAGAGGGUGACUGCAAAGUGUGCUCCCUGGACCAGGGGCCUCGGCCUCACCUGGGAGCUUGCUAAAAAUGCAAGUUGCUCUCACCCAGACUGAAUCUAAAAUUCUGGGUACAGCCCAGCAAUCUCUGCUCACACUUUCUCCAGAUGAUUCUGGUGCAAGCUAACCUUUCAAAAGUCCUGGGUCCCAUUCCCAGAGGCUGUGAUUAAGUUGGUCUAGGGCUGUGGCCUAGACCUGGGGAUUUUGGAAGCCCACAGGUGAUUCUGUUGUGCAGCCAUGGUUGGCAGGCUGUUCACGGUGCUGUUCAACAGGUCCUGCUGUGGGAUGGAAAGGGUCUGUAUCUGCACUGGCCAAUGUGGGAGCCAGCCCUGUGGCUAUUGAGCACUUGGCCCCUGGCUAGUGCAACUGAGGAGCUGAAUUUUUCAUUUCAUUUACUUUUAAUUAAGUUUAAAUAGCUAAAUGUGGCUAUUGUCUGCCUUAUUGGAUAGCAGAGUUCUAGAACCACAGAUAAAUGUAAUACUGUCCCUUUAGUUGAUUUAAAAAUCCAAUGCCUCUGUAAUCCUAGCACUUUGGGAGGCCAAGGUGGGCUGAUCACGAGGUCAAGAGAUCGAGACCAUUCUUGCCAACAUGGUGAAACCCCGUCUCUACUAAAAAUACAAAAAUUAGCCGGGCAUGGUGGCAGGCACCUGUAAUCCCAGCUACUCGGGAGGCUGAGGCAGGAGAAUCACUUGAACCCACGAGGCGGAGCUUGCAGUGAGCCAAGAUUGCACCACUGCACUCCAGCCUGGUGACAGACGGAGAUUCUGUCUCAAAAAAAAAUGCCUCACAGAGUUAAAUAUUUAAGUUGAUAAGAAAAAUGGUAGUCGAGUCUUUGAGGAUUAUUUUAAAAUCCACUUUUGGUGAUAAAUAGAUAAAAACAGUGUGGUAGGGCCCAGAAGUUCUUCCUGAUUUCUACCUGUUGGAGCUGAAUUCCUCAAUUUUACUUGUAGGAGAACGGCUUCCUAAAGGGCACCUUACCCAGCCAUUCCUGCAUGCAAGUGUGUAUGAGAACUGCAGGGGGCAUUAUAUGAAAAUCCAAUUCCUGGGCUCUAUCCCAGAUGUUCCUAUCCAAUAGGUCUGGGUUGGGGCCCUGGAAACUGCAUUUUUGGCAAACCCCUUACUGAUUUGGAUGCACAAGUUUCAAGGAACAGGCACUAAGGAUCGCUGAUGUAGAAUCUGUUUGUCCAUCCAGGAAAGCCAGAGUCACCACACUUGAGUAAAUGGGUUUUGAUGUAGGAAAGGUCUUUAUAAUUCUUUCAUGAAUUCACCAAACUUUAAAAACUGUACUAUUUUUGGCUGGGCUUGGUGGCUCACGCCUGUAAUCUCAGCACUUUGGGGGCCAAGGCGGGUGGAUCAUGAGGUCAGGAGAUCGAGACCAUCCUGGCUAACACGGUGAAAACCUGUCUCUACGAAAAAUACAAAAAAAAAAAAUUAGCCGGGCGUGGUGGCGGGUGCCUGUAGUCCCAGCUACUCAGGAGGCUGAGGCAGGAGAAUGGCGUGAACCC
rnacentral:lncRNA from 1 species